GACGAGCGCUGGCGGCGUGCUUAACACAUGCAAGUCGAACGGAAAGGCCCUGCUUUUGUGGGGUGCUCGAGCGGCGAACGGGUGAGUAACACGUGAGUAACCUGCCCUUGACUUUGGGAUAACUUCAGGAAACUGGGGCUAAUACCGGAUAGGAGCUCCUGCUGCAUGGUGGGGGUUGGAAAGUUUCGGCGGUUGGGGAUGGACUCGCGGCUUAUCAGCUUGUUGGUGGGGUAGUGGCUUACCAAGGCUUUGACGGGUAGCCGGCCUGAGAGGGUGACCGGCCACAUUGGGACUGAGAUACGGCCCAGACUCCUGCGGGAGGCAGCAGUGGGGAAUAUUGCACAAUGGGCGGAAGCCUGAUGCAGCAACGCCGCGUGCGGGAUGACGGCCUUCGGGUUGUAAACCGCUUUCGCCUGUGACGAAGCGUGAGUGACGGUAAUGGGUAAAGAAGCACCGGCUAACUACGUG
rnacentral:rRNA from 1 species